CUAAAUCCGAGCCAAGGACGCC
rnacentral:siRNA from 1 species